rnacentral:rRNA from 1 species
GGGGAGCAAACAGGAUUAGCUACCCUGGUAGUCCCCGCUGUAAACGAUGUCGAUUUGGAGGUCGUGCCCUUGAGGCGUGGCUUCCGGAGCUAACGCGUUAAAUCGACCGCCUGGGGAGUACGGCCGCAAGGUUAAAACUCAAAUGAAUUGACGGGGGCCCCGCACAAGCGGUGGAGCAUGUGGUUUAAUUCGAUGCAACGCGAAGAACCUUACCUACUCUUGACAUCCAGAGAACUUUCCAGAGAUGGAUUGGUGCCUUCGGGAACUCUGAGACAGGUGCUGCAUGGCUGUCGUCAGCUCGUGUUGUGAAAUGUUGGGUUAAGUCCCGCAACGAGCGCAACCCUUAUCCUUUGUUGCCAGCGGUUCGGCCGGGAACUCAAAGGAGACUGCCAGUGAUAAACUGGAGGAAGGUGGGGAUGACGUCAAGUCAUCAUGGCCCUUACGAGUAGGGCUACACACGUGCUACAAUGGCGUAUACAAAGAGAAGCGACCUCGCGAGAGCAAGCGGACCUCAUAAAGUACGUCGUAGUCCGGAUUGGAGUCUGCAACUCGACUCCAUGAAGUCGGAAUCGCUAGUAAUCGUAGAUCAGAAUGCUACGGUGAAUACGUUCCCGGGCCUUGUACACACCGCCCGUCACACCAUGGGAGUGG